GGGCAUGCUUACACAUGCAGUCGAACGGCAGCACGGGAGCAUCCUGGUGGCGAGUGGCGAACGGGUGAGUAAUACAUCGGAACGUGGCCCAAUCGUGGGGGAUACGCAGCGAAAGCUGUGCUAAUACCGCAUAAGAUCUACGGAUGAAAGCAGGGACCGAAGGCCUUGCGCGAAUGGAGCGGCCGAUGGCAGAUUAGGUAGUUGGUGGGGUAAAGGCUCACCAAGCCUUCGAUCUGCAGCUGGUCUGAGAGGACGACCAGCCACACUGGGACUGAGACACGGCCCAGACUCCUACGGGAGGCAGCAGUGGGGAAUUUUGGACAAUGGGCGCAAGCCUGAUCCAGCCAUGCCGCGUGCGGGAAGAAGGCCUUCGGGUUGUAAACCGUUUUGUCAGGGAAGAAAAGGUUCUGGUUAAUAACCGGGGCUCAUGACGGUACCUGAAAAUAAGCACCGGCUAACUACGUGCCAGCAGCCGGGUAAUACGUAGGGUGCAAGCGUUACUCGGAAUUAAUGGGCGUAAAGCGUGAGCAGGGCG
rnacentral:rRNA from 1 species